GCUGCCUGAGCCAGCAGUGGCAACCCACUGGGGUGCUCUUCCACAGUGUGGAAGCUUUGUUCUUUUGCUCUUUAUGAUAAAUCUUUGCUGUUCCUUACUCUUUGGGUCCAUGACGUCUUCAUGAACUGUAACACUCAUGGCAAGGGUCUGCACCUUCACUCCUGAAGCCAGCAAAACCAUGAACCCAUGGGGAGGAACGAACAAUUCCAGAUGCGUGCUGCUUUUAAGAGCUGUAACACUCACUGCGACAGUCCGCAGCUUCAUCCUUGAAGUCAGCGAGACCAAGAACUCACCAAUUCUGGACACAUUUUGGCAACCACGAAGGGCCUAUCGUCUAUUGCCAAGCAGUGAGACUAUCGUCAAGUGGUGAGACCAUCACCUAUCGCCAAGCGAGGCAAUCACUGGAAGGUGCACUGCCCCAGAGGACGAAGGGCCAGGAAAUUGACUUCCUCCUGGAUACUGGCGCGGCCUUCACAGUGUUAAUCUCCUGGAUGACUGUCCUCAAGGUCCGUUACCAUCCGAAGAAUCCUGGGACAGCCUGUAACCAGGCUGCAAAAUGCAUGGCACAGGGAAGGGUUUGAUAACUUUUUGAUGGAUGAACGAAGAAGAUUCAAGCCACUUGUCAACAAACCCAAAGUGAUUGAAAGUGGAAGCGUUUACCUACACACGCAGAAAAUGACAGGAAAUCAUCCAGAGACACUUGUGACAGAGAUGAGAACUGUCACUGUUGAGAGGUGCUGCGGAGAUGGGUGUCCAUGGAUGACUGUUGGGAGGCUGACUGCGGGGAUGUGGCGCCAUUAGCUCAAGAGUGGGCAACUCCCUACCAUGCUGGCGGCGCCGGCCAGGACAGGACAAGCCUACUGCAGUGGCACGGCGCCCUGAUCCCUGACCCCACGUGGGUGUUUUACUUUAGCUAAUGCUGCAGAGAUAUGCAGACAGGGAAAUUGAGGCCCUAGUGCUGAGCAGACCAAUCACCUUGUUAUAAGCAGUGAGGGUUUCUGGCUCCACUCCUGGGCCCCAAACCACUGUGGGCUCACGAAGAAUCUUCCAGAGUUGGAGUCAGAAUGUCUGGGUUUGAGUGUAGCCUCCACCCCUUAAUGACUUUGCAUUGAUAAUUCCAUUCCCUGAGCCUCAUUUUACCCAUCUAUAAAAUGAGGAGAAAUAGUCUAUUUCCUGGUUACUUC